ACCAUGAAAAAUGGCCUAGCCUGGGAUAUUGAUAAUUUCCGUAUAUAAUAAUCUUCGGGAUGUAGGCUUUCUAGAAAUGUUUUUCUUUUUUUCAUAUAUUCUAUAUUUUUUUGUUACUAUGACGUUGAAUAUUGUGGUAUUUAAUGUUAAAAAAUUAACAUUUUGGGAUACACGUCACAACAAUAAACCUCCAAUACCAUGUACAAUGUACAUGAACCUAUAAAUUUCUAAUUAUAUCAAGUUAUAUGCGCUCAAAUAGCUAGAAUGGUUGAUUCAAUGAUCAUUAUAAGCAUUUUUUACCAAAUUUGGGAAAUAGAAAUAAGGAAUAUUUUGGAAAUGAUGUUCAAAGCCGUGAUUGUUCAACUUUACUUUUAGAUUAUUUUUACUUGAAUUUUAAAAUACUGAAAUAAGAAGAAGAAUAAAUAUAGUAUGUAGUCUAUUUACAUGGUGAAAGAAGUGAAUCAUUGGAACAAUUCUGUUUCAUAUCAUAUUCCAUAGUUUUUUGUGGAGUUUUUUUUUUUUUUUUUUUUUUGGUUUGGUAUUAAAACGACCGAGUAUCGAUAUCAAGGGUAACGAAAUAAGUUGACACCGCGUCUCGUCAAAACAUGUUCAAUUCGAAUUUACUCGGAAUUACACGUUCAACAAGCAUUUGCUGUGAAACCUGAUUAAAGGAAAAGUCCUGUAGUCACCUAAUACUUUAUGCGUAGAAGACCUGGAUCCUCCCUGUGAACUUGGAUGUUGCAGUCCCCCUCAACAUGCUCCUGAGCGUAUGACGGUGAUAGACGCAACUGAUAGGUACCACAAGUGAGAAGUCGGAGCUGUUCCUCAUCCAGGCAGGGGAAGUCAGUCAGGUCAUCUACUUCCCUCCAGCAAACUGUACGCCGAUCAAGCUUGUUUUCUUCCACAUGGUGCUGGAGAGAAUUCACUUGCUUGGAGAGGUACACCAUUUUAGCUCCCAGGGCUUGGUCCUCCUCGGUGUCACCACAGACAAGUGGUUUUAAGUACCUGAAUAUUAUAAGAUAUUUCAUGAUUAAGGAAAUUAUGGAUAUUGCAACAAUCAUAUAUUUAAUGAUAGUUAUUGAUAUUCUGAAAUUCUUAUAGUCAACAUUAUGAAAUUGAUGUAUAGAUCUAUAAUUAUGCAUUUAUACAUCAUUCAUUUUCUCAAAAUGAACUGAAUUUAUUUUUUGUCUAGGAAUUCCUAAAGUGAUCAUGAAUUGAUGUAUAGAUCUAUAUGAAUUUAUACAUAUUUCAUUUUCUCAAAAUGAACUGAAUUCAUUUUGUCUAGGAAUUCCAAUACUGAUCAUGAAUUCUUAGUCUCUUACUCAAUUUUGUAAAAUGCUGCUAACCUGUUGCAUAUGGCACAUGCAAUCCUCACAAAAUCACCGAUGUAAGGUAUUUGACUUGAUGGUAGGAUGUGCCCUAAAUACCGCCAUUGUUUAAUCCUAGCAUUUGCUGACUCCACAACCCAUCGAAUCUGUAAUGUAGGCAUUUUGGCACAAAUUCCCAUCUCUUGGAGGUAAUCCAAAGAAUCCCUAAAUCCACGGUCAACCACAAAGAUAUCAUUCUCGUUGACCCAGCUCCGUAUGUCCUCGAUAUUGCUGCGCAUUAUAUGGUUCAAAAUGGUAGCGUCAUUGUUGCGAGCUAAGUAGGGGCCCAAAACAGAAAUGAAGUAGCCUGUCGUCGAUACAAUAAUCAUUGGCUUCACAAGUGGUCUCCCUUUGUGAAGGCUAAAAGACUGUCGUUGAAACUUAAAAUUUCCGCUUUUAUUGAUAUAAAUGUAAGUUCCAUCAAGGACAAGUAUUGCCUGUUGGGACAAUGCAUCACCAAAUAUGGAUUGGGCUAAAGGUCGAGUGUGUUCUUGAAUUAUCUUCUCUCUUGUCACAUGGCCAAAACCAAGAUUCCCAGUGACAAAUCCACCAUUCAUUAAUGCUGUGCGAAUUGUCUUUACUGCUCUGUAAAUGCUGGAUUUGGAUAUCCUAAACAAUGUUGAGAGGAUACAGUUGGAUUUUCCACCCCUGAGCUUCAUCAGGAAAAUGGCCAAACUCGUUCUGACAGUUCUCACUGGAGUUACCUUGACUUUUCCCUCAACAUAUGUCAGCAAGUCCUCAAACGCAGCUUUAGGGAUUCCUAGGAGAUUCUGAUGCUUUGGACAGCAGCGAGCCCCGGCAGGAAUGAUAACCUCUUUAGAAAUGAAGAUUUGAUGUCUUACUCCUAAGGGUACUACAACUAGCUUUGGACCUGGUCGCUUACAGAUACAGCAUGAAGCGUGCCCUCUUGAUGUACAUGGGAAUGGGAGUGAUACAGAAGGAGGACUAAUUAGAAUAGCUGCUACUGCUGAUGAUGGUGCUGGACUGUCUUGAACCUGUGUCCUAACCGGCUUAAUCUUCUUCUGUUUAAUACGGGAGUAACACAUACACUGGCAUCUAUUGCACAAACAAUCAUGCUCAGAAGGUCUCCUCCCUGUGAGGGUGGUGAUCACUGUCCUAUAUUUAUCUGAAAUCCUGAACCUGUGUUUUGAUUUUACUCUCCGUGGACAGUUGAAACAGAGGAAAUGUUUGGGGCCACUCCCUGGCAUAUCUGCAAUAUUUAUUUCAAAUAAUUGAAAUACAAUUUUGGUUGGAUGAAAAUCUUGUCUUCAUGUUAAAACUUAUUGAUAGGUUAUUUUCCUAAAAUCUAAUUCUAAAUCAAUUAAUUUGUAUUUAAAACCUUUGACAUUUUUUUUUUUACUAACUGAAAAUGUGUAUCUUCAAAUGUUUUGUUGAUUAUGUCAGUGGGAAAUAUAGAGGGGGUAUGGGGUUUACAACGAUGUAUUAAUUUAACAUUCCCUUAUUUAAAGAAAAAAUAAAUCUUUUCCUAAUCCUAAAGGAAAACUGCUGCAAAAAUACCACAUCUCCAUAAAUGAAAUAAUAUAGAUAAUAGGAAAAUGAUCAAUAGAAUUGUGUUGUGAUUCAUUUUCCUGUGAGGGGGGGGGGGGUUGCUAAAUUUUGCUGUUUCACCUUUUUUUUAAAUUUAAUUUUGUUUGAACAUUUAUAACAUAUCUUUUCAACAUUAAUCUUGUCUAUAGCACAAAAUAAAUAUUAAAAAAUCAUUUAAAA